UACGAAGGGUGCAAACGUUGCUCGGAAUUAUUGGGCGUAAAGCGCACGUAGGCGGCUUGGCAAGUCGGAUGUGAAAUCCCUCGGCUCAACCAAGGAAGUGCAUCCGAAACUGCUGAGCUUGAGUACUUAAGAGGAUCGCGGAAUUCCCGGUGUAGAGGUGAAAUUCGUAGAUAUCGGGAGGAACACCAGUGGCGAAGGCGGCGACCUGGGACGAUACUGACGCUGAGGUGCGAAAGCGUGGGGAGCAAACAGG
rnacentral:rRNA from 1 species